GAUGAACGCUAGCUACAGGCUUAACACAUGCAAGUCGAGGGGAAACGACAUCGAAAGCUUGCUUUUGAUGGGCGUCGACCGGCGCACGGGUGAGUAACGCGUAUCCAACCUGCCCACCACUUGGGGAUAACCUUGCGAAAGUAAGACUAAUACCCGAUGAUAUCCCUAGACGACAUCUGAAAGGGAUUAAAGAUUUAUCGGUGAUGGAUGGGGAUGCGUCUGAUUAGGUUGUUGGCGGGGUAACGGCCCACCAAGCCAUCGAUCAGUAGGGGUUCUGAGAGGAAGGUCCCCCACAUUGGAACUGAGACACGGUCCAAACUCCUACGGGAGGCAGCAGUGAGGAAUAUUGGUCAAUGGGCGAGAGCCUGAACCAGCCAAGUAGCGUGCAGGACGACGGCCCUAUGGGUUGUAAACUGCUUUUAUACGGGAAUAAAGUGGGCCACGCGUGGUCUUUUGCAUGUACCGUAUGAAUAAGGACCGGCUAAUUCCGUG
rnacentral:rRNA from 1 species